rnacentral:rRNA from 1 species
AAGACCUUGCGCUUUUGGAGCGGCCGAUGCCUGAUUAGCUUGUUGGUAAGGUAAAAGCUUACCAAGGCUUCGAUCAGUAGCUGGUCUGAGAGGACGGCCAGCCACACUGGGACUGAGACACGGCCCAGACUCCUACGGGAGGCAGCAGUGGGGAAUUUUGGACAAUGGGCGCAAGCCUGAUCCAGCCAUGCCGCGUGAGUGAAGAAGGCCUUCGGGUUGUAAAGCUCUUUCAGCCGGAACGAAACGGUUACGGUUAGUACCCGUGAUUACUGACGGUACCGGAAGAAGAAGCACCGGCUAACUACGCGCCAGCAGCCGCGGUAAUACGUAGGGUGCGAGCGUUAAUCGGAAUUACUGGGCGUAAAGCGUGCGCAGGUGGUUUUGUAAGUCAGAUGUGAAAGCCCCGGGCUCAACCUGGGAACU